CCCGGGUUGAGGGGGCUGGACCUCCGGGCUGCGGAUUAAGCUCCUCCCGUCGGCGUUAAUUUCAAACUGCGCGACCGUUUCUCACCUGCCUUGCGCCCAAGGCGGGGAGGCGUGGGGGCGGGGAGGCGUGGGGGCGGGACCCUAUUCUGAGAGGUAAUAGCACGCAGGUCUCGAGCCAUCUGCAAUUCACUGAGCACAUUUACGGAAGUAACGUCGGGCACUAUCGUUAGCCGCGAGGUGGGGAGGAGUACGCACUUGGCGUAAGGCGGGGCGUAGAGCCUUCCCGCCAUUGGCGGCGGUUAGGGCGUUUACGCAACGGCCUGACGUAGAGGAAGACGCGUUAGUCGGGGGGGAAGGUUCUAGAAAAGCGGCGGCAGCGGCUCUAGCGGCAGUAGCAGCAGCGUCGGGUCCCGUGCGGAGGUGCCGCUAGCGGUGUUGUUUCUCGAGCAGCGGCAGUUCUCACUACAGCGCCAGGACGAGUCCGGUUCGUGUUCGUCCGCGGAGAUCUCUCUCAUCUCGCUCGGCUGCGGGAAAUCGGGCUGAAGCGACUGAGUCCGCGAUGGAGAAAACUUUAGAAACUGUUCCUUUGGAGAGGAAAAAGAGAGAAAAGGAACAGUUCCGUAAGCUCUUUAUUGGUGGCUUAAGCUUUGAAACCACAGAAGAAAGUUUGAGGAACUACUACGAACAAUGGGGAAAGCUUACAGAUUGUGUGGUAAUGAGGGAUCCUGCAAGCAAAAGAUCAAGAGGAUUUGGUUUUGUAACUUUCUCAUCCAUGGCUGAGGUUGAUGCUGCCAUGGCUGCAAGACCUCAUUCAAUUGAUGGGAGAGUCGUUGAGCCAAAACGUGCUGUAGCAAGAGAGGAAUCUGGAAAACCAGGGGCUCAUGUAACUGUGAAGAAGCUGUUUGUUGGUGGAAUUAAGGAAGAUACUGAGGAACAUCACCUUAGAGAUUACUUUGAGGAAUACGGAAAAAUUGAUACCAUUGAAAUAAUUACUGAUAGGCAGUCUGGAAAGAAAAGAGGCUUUGGCUUUGUUACUUUUGAUGACCAUGAUCCUGUGGAUAAAAUCGUGUUGCAGAAAUACCAUACCAUCAAUGGUCAUAAUGCAGAAGUAAGAAAGGCUUUGUCUAGACAAGAAAUGCAGGAAGUUCAAAGUUCUAGGAGUGGAAGAGGAGGCAACUUUGGCUUUGGGGAUUCUCGUGGCGGCGGAGGAAAUUUCGGACCAGGACCAGGAAGUAACUUUAGAGGAGGAUCUGAUGGAUAUGGCAGUGGACGUGGAUUUGGGGAUGGCUACAAUGGGUAUGGAGGAGGACCCGGAGGUGGCAAUUUUGGAGGUAGCCCUGGUUAUGGAGGAGGAAGAGGAGGAUAUGGUGGUGGAGGACCUGGAUAUGGCAACCAGGGUGGGGGCUACGGAGGUGGUUAUGACAACUAUGGAGGAGGAAAUUACGGAAGUGGAAAUUACAAUGAUUUUGGAAAUUAUAACCAGCAGCCUUCUAACUAUGGUCCAAUGAAGAGUGGAAACUUUGGUGGUAGCAGGAACAUGGGGGGACCAUAUGGUGGAGGAAACUAUGGUCCAGGAGGCAGUGGAGGAAGUGGGGGUUAUGGUGGGAGGAGCCGAUAUUGAGCUUCUUCCUCUUUGCCAUGGCAUUGAUAUGAGCCAUGGACAAGUAUAUUCUGCUGCCACAAAGACUGUAAAGUGCUUCAUUUCAACAGCUGAGGAAGGUGUCUUGCUGCAGGUAACUAAUGAAGAAGUGGUCAACCACAGAGUCUUCAAGAAAUAAGAAAUUCUGUACCAUCUGAAAGUAGUUCUUGUUUGUGCCUUCAUUUAAAAAGCACUCUUUAAAAUAAAAGGGAAAUGUUUUCUGAAACAUUUAGUUCAGGUUCUUGAUAUAAAACGGUUACAAAAUGAGUGUUGUUUGUAAAACAGUAACAUCAACUUGGCUAGAGAGAUAAAUGUAUCAUGUUUUUAAAUUAGGUUUUGUGAGUAGACAGAUUAAAAUUCUAUUUUAAAGUUUAUAAAAUAAAUACUUUUGUAUCCAAAUAUUUGGUGUAAUGUUUACACAUAAAAUGUGUGAAUCUUGUUCUAUAAACAUUUGGUUGUCUAAAAGAUCACCAUCCCCUAAAUUUUUUAAAGCAGUUUCACAAAGCUAUGCAUAUUUUCUUUUAAUAUUUACAGAUAAAUGAGAAGAGCACUGUGGACAUUAUUGGCUGUCCCCAAUAAAAUGCUGUUCAUUAUGCACUGUAUAUUCAGCGUUUGAGUACUCCUAAAGUUCCUGGCUUUACCUUGUAUGUUUAACAGUACUUGGCGUUUGAAAAUCAUGGAUUUUAAAUUAACCUGCCUGAGUGUUCCAGAUUAACUGCCUUUGCAAAGCACUGAGGCUUAAAAUAUGUACUAGAUUGUCAAAUGUCAAUUAGUUUUAUUGUGUUUUACACUGAGUAAAUGAGUAUCUGUUUUUUUUUUUUUUUUUUUUUUUUUUUAAGGCUUUUUAAAUAACGGUGUUUAUUUGGACAUUUACCUGAAUUAAGAAAACCAAAACAAAUAACAAGGGCCAAGUUAAUUGAUUCCAUGGUAAUUUCUUUUGGUUUUGAUAAUUUGAGGUAUCUUAACAGGUAAGUCAAACUAACAGCAGCUAACAAGUAUAAAGCAGCUUUGCAUUUGAAAUCGUAAUGGAAUUAAUCAAUUAGACUUGUACAAAUAGAUCUACUCCAAGAAAGUUAAUUUUGAAGGUUUAAAAAUGUGUGAUGUACAAAGAUGUUGAACGUUGAAAAUACAUCGUUAAUAGUAUGCAUAACCUCAAAAUAGCAACUCUGAUCCAGCACGGUCAAGGGAAUAUCACACAAAUAGGGGAGAAUUAGGUAAUGCACAAUAGGCUGAAAUGAAUUGAUUUAAAGAGGGUUUACUGAAACAUAGGGUAAUGUUGGAUGUUCAACAUAGGCUUAUUUUUUGUAUGUAUUGUGUGUUGAGCCGUUUCUUGAAGUUUAAGAUAGUUCUUGUGGCAGCCUUGAGACAGCACCCUAAAUGAAGAAAGGCUGCCUUUUGCCUAGGGCUUUAUAUUGUUGCUGUGUAACAACUUAGCAGUUUCUCUAAACAAACUUCAUCUAUGUCAGCAGUUGGGAGCAAGUUAACUGAAUCAGGGUAAAGCUCAAGGUUGCAAUCACCAAAAACUAGGAUUGGAGAAUUUUUAUAUCCAGAGUGGCAUACUAACAGGGCUGAAAAAUUAAUGCCGUCAGCUUCCCUUGGUGAGUGACUCAAGCAAGAAAAGCUGUAAAAUGAACACUACAACAUAGUCAUGCCAUCUUGCAUCCUUUAUGGUUACAGAAUGUGGUGGGAGGGUUCUGUCCACUGGUAUAAUUACCAAGCAGCUAGGGAUCAUUGGGAACUGUCUUAGACGCUGGCUGCCACACUCGAGGUGCCCUUAUUAAGUUUUUAUGCACUUCUGUGAAAUGAUCUGUAUGUAUAAGAUUUUCCAUGUAGUCUAAUUUGGUAGAUCAGUGCAAAAUGAGUUGGUUUAAAUCGGCUUGACCUAAUAUUCGUUAGGUGUUAAAAGCUAACAAUGUAAGGCAACAAGUCUCAGUUCAUCAAUGUUGGUUGAAAAGUGCAAAAGGUAGAAAGGCAUGUAUUUCAGGACACCUGGAGUGUGCAUGUUGCUUAAAUUUGCUGAAGAUUUGGAACUAAUGUACUAAGAUGGUUGAUCACACAAUUUUGACAUUUCCAUUAUUUUAGUAAUGAAACUAACAUUGGCUUGUUUUGGGGUGUUGGAGGGGGUUUGAGGGAUAACCAGAGAGGUGUGCGGAUUUACCGGAGAACAAAUUUAAUGGUUCAAAGAUUGAGAUGGGGGAAGAAUGUUCUAGCUACUUGAGUGCGUUUAGGAAAGUUAAGAUUGUUAUCACAAACUUGUAUGCUGCUGCUGUUUUGUGUUCUGAAGAUCUGCUGAACCUAAGCCUGCUUUGAGACCAGGGGACCUCAAGAAAUCUAGAUGGCCUCGUUUGCUUGGAGUUUCUAUGCAAUUGGCCUAAAAUCUGAUAAUGCUUGUGAAGAAGCUCGAGUGAGAAUUUAAAUUGGAAAAGUGUCCCACUUGGGUUGUCUUUAUCUUAUUCAUAAAAUCAAGACAACUCAACUAGGUAGGUAAUGUGGAGAGUCCUAGCCAGCAGUUGUCAGCUUUUGGUCAUUGGCUUUGUCAUCUAGUUGGUUUGCACUAGAAACCUAAUGUGGAAUUUCACGUUUAAAACUGGACUGUCGAUAGAAAAGCAAGCACAUCCAGUUUUUAUGCUUUGAAUCCUGCAUGUUAAGGUGAAGGUGGGGUUGUAUCAUAAAACCAGCCCAUAGUCAUUUAGAUCUUGUGAAGCUGACUUCCUAAUGCACAAAAGUCCCUUGUUCUGGGGGAGGGGGACAUCAGUUUCAGGAACCACCACCAUACCAAAAUAUGGAUGCUCUAGGCCCAUUUUAUGAAAUGUAUUUGCACGUGACCUAAGCAUAUCUCAUAUGAGUGAGUAUAGGUCACUCAAUACUGGUAGAAAGCUGGGCAAAUAGUAUGCUGCAUUACAGUGA